rnacentral:tRNA from 2 species
GUUAUUUUGGCAGAUUAGUGUAAUGAAUUUAGAAUUCAUAAAAAUAAUUAUUAAUUAUAAAUAAUA